GACGAACGCUGGCGGCGUGCUUAACACAUGCAAGUCGAACGGAAAGGCCCCUUUGGGGGUCCUCGAGUGGCGAACGGGUGAGUAACACGUGAGUAACCUGCCCUUGACUUCGGGAUAACUUCAGGAAACUGGGGCUAAUACCGUAUAGGAAUCCUUGCUGCAUGGUGUGGGUUGGAAAGCUUCGGCGGUUUUGGAUGGACUCGCGGCUUAUCAGCUUGUUGGUGGGGUAGUGGCUUACCAAGGCUUUGACGGGUAGCCGGCCUGAGAGGGCGACCGGCCACAUUGGGACUGAGAUACGGCCCAGACGCCUACGGGAGGCAGCAGUGGGGAAUAUUGCACAAUGGGCGGAAGCCUGAUGCAGCAACGCCGCGUGCGGGAUGACGGCCUUCGGGUUGUAAACCGCUUUCAGCAGGGGCGAAGCUUGUGGUGACGGUACCUGCAGAAGAAGCACCGGCUAACUACGUG
rnacentral:rRNA from 1 species